GACAGAGGGUGCAAACGUUGUUCGGAUUUACUGGGCGUAAAGCGCGCGUAGGCGGACCUGCAAGUCGGGGGUGAAAGCCCGAGGCUCAACCUCGGAACUGCCUUCGAUACUGCGGGUCUCGAGUCCGGGAGAGGUGAGUGGAAUUCCUAGUGUAGAGGUGAAAUUCGUAGAUAUUAGGAAGAACACCAGUGGCGAAGGCGGCUCACUGGCCCGGUACUGACGCUGAGGCGCGAAAGCGUGGGGAGCAAACAGG
rnacentral:rRNA from 1 species